GAUGAACGCUGGCGGCGUGCCUAAUACAUGCAAGUCGAGCGAACAGACGAGGAGCUUGCUCCUCUGACGUUAGCGGAGGACGGGUGAGUAACACGUGGAUAACCUACCUAUAAGACUGGGAUCACUUCGGGAAACCGGAGCUAAUACCGGAUAAUAUAUUGAACCGCAUGGUUCAAUAGUGAAAGACGGUUUUGCUGUCACUUCUAGAUGGAUCCGCGCCGCAUUAGCUAGUUGGUAAGGUAACGGCUUACCAAGGCAACGAUGCGUAGCCGACCUGAGAGAGUGAUCGGCCACACUGGAACUGAGACGCGGUCCAGACUCCUACGGGAGGCAGCAGUAGGGAAUCUUCCGCAAUGGGCGAGAGCCUGACGGAGCAACGCCGCGUGAGUGAUGAAGGUCUUCGGAUCGUAAAACUCUGUUAUUAGGGAAGAACAAAUGUGUAAGUAACUAUGCACGUCUUGACGGUACCUAAUCAGAAAGCCACGGCUAACUACGUG
rnacentral:rRNA from 1 species